GAAUGGAUGGCAUAGUUGUUUUGAGUGUUGGACUACAACUAUGGAGGCCAGGGUUUGAUUCCCAGUUCAACCA